CCCUUAGACGUUCUGGGCCGCACGCGCGCUACACUGACCAGUGCAACAAGCAUCCGUCCUUGGCCGACAGGCCCGGGCAAUCUUUGAACGCUGGUCGUGAUGGGGAUAGACUUUUGCAAUUUUUGGUCUUCAACGAGGAAUUCCUAGUAAACGCAAGUCAUCAACUUGCAUUGAUUACGUCCCUGCCCUUUGUACACACCGCCCGUCGCACCUACCGAUUGAAUGGUCCGGUGAAGCCUCCGGAUUGGCGCGCACCUCGGUGCCGCCGAGAAGUUGGCUAAACCUUACCAUUUNNAGGAAGGUGAAGUCGUAACA
rnacentral:rRNA from 1 species